rnacentral:rRNA from 1 species
UACGUAGGGUGCAAGCGUUAAUCGGAAUUACUGGGCGUAAAGCGUGCGCAGGCGGUUUUGUAAGUCUGAUGUGAAAUCCCCGGGCUCAACCUGGGAAUUGCAUUGGAGACUGCAAGGCUAGAGUUUGGCAGAGGGGGGGUAGAAUUCCACGUGUAGCAGUGAAAUGCGUAGAUAUGUGGAGGAACACCGAUGGCGAAGGCAGCCCCCCUGGGUCAAAACUGACGCUCAUGCACGAAAGCGUGGGGAGCAAACAGG